rnacentral:rRNA from 1 species
AUUGAACGCUGGCGGCGUGCCUAACACAUGCAAGUCGAGCGGCAGCGCGGGGGCAACCCUGGCGGCGAGCGGCGGACGGGUGAGCAAUACAUAGGAAUCUGCCUCAGAGCGGGGGAUAGCCAGGGGAAACCCUGAUUAAUACCGCAUGAUGUCGAGAGACCAAAGUGGGGGACCGUAAGGCCUCACACUCUGAGAUGAGCCUAUGUCGGAUUAGCUAGUUGGCGGGGUAACGGCCCACCAAGGCGACGAUCCGUAGCUGGUCUGAGAGGACGAUCAGCCACACCGGAACUGAGACACGGUCCGGACUCCUACGGGAGGCAGCAGUGGGGAAUAUUGGACAAUGGGCGAAAGCCUGAUCCAGCGACGCCGCGUGGGUGAAGAAGGCCUUCGGGUUGUAAAGCCCUUUAAGCCGGGACGAAAAAGCUACACCUAACACGUGUGGCCUUGACGGUACCGGAAGAAUAAGCACCGGCUAACUCUGUGCCAGCAGCCGCGGUAA